CAGGCAGAGGUCACAGACCACUAGCACCUGCAGCCACCCAGCAGGUAACACAAAUGGCCUGGGGACUGAGGUCAUAAAAGGCAGCUGACACCGGUCAGCCUUAAAGAGCAAAGGGUGGUGGCAGGUGGGGACUGGAGACGACAAGUCCUCUCUGACAAGGGGCUGCAGCUACUCACCUCGGGCUGGUUACUGCUGUGGAAGAAGAGCACCUUCUCGGGGGACUGGCACCGAGAUGAUAUCAAUGAACAGGAAAGGCCCAGUCCUAGUCCUCCGGGGGCCCACUGUUUAAGAUGGAGGCAGACAGGAGAAUGGGAGACUGCACAUCAGCGGGCGAGCACUUGGACAGCGGGAGUGGACGUGGAGAGGGCACGGAGGAGGCCAAGCUUGAAAGGCAGAGGGGAGGAGUCCAGGACCACAUUCUGGAAGAAAUGAGGUCUAAGCUGAGAUCUGAAGGUUGAGUUGGUACUGGACCAGGUAAAGGGAAGAAAACAGAGUGUGAGCCCAAUGCUAUGCACAGCUACUGGUGGAAUUUGGGGCGUCAAAUAUGCACCAGUCAUGCCGCCCUGAGAGUCGGAGAGUGGGAACCUCAUCUUCGGAGAUGAUAUGACAUAUUCAGGCGAUGUCCGACCCCUCUGGCCAAGGUGAGGGUGAAUAAACAGGCAUCCCUGAUGAUGCAAGCUAACAUCACCUGAUACAAUGGAAUACAGCCUCUAACUUCUUCCUCUUCUUGGGUUGCCAAAGCACAAAGUCAUCUUGCAUUGAUUUAAAGAGAGAAAGGACCCACACAGACUUCUCCGUCUUGUUUUUGAGUCAGGAGCUCUGGGGAGUCAGAGAGGGGUGGAGGCUGAUGGAGGGAAGGAGGGGUCUUUAGGGGACCAGGGAGUUGGGGAAGCUGGGAAUUCUGUAUAGUCCAAGUUGACUAUGCCAGAUGUAGCUCAAUUUUUUUUUUUUUUUCUUUUAAGAGACUGUUAUGGGUUUCCUUUCCAAAGUGGAACUGCAGGGAUGGAAAAAUGAGUUUCAGUUGCUAUGGAAAUAGGAGUUGGCUGGAGCCUGCGGGAGCAGCAGCUGGAGUAGAACAAGUGGCCAGGAACCUGGCCCUGUGACAGAGGGGCUUCCGGCUGGGGAUAAGACAACAACAGGCGUUAGCAGGGAGGAGGAGGAGGGAAGAAGAGAGAGGAGACAGAUUCUGCUGCCUAUGGAUUCUGCAGACACGUAGAGUGAUAAAGAAUGGUGUGUGCGUGUGCAUGUGUGUGUGUGUUGGGGGGGGGGUUGCAUGUACACCCCCCCAGGCCAAAAAAAAAAAAAAAAAAAAAAAAGAGAGAGAGAGAAGCAAAAUAAAUCACUGCCUGAGGAAGAACAGAGCUUCACUGGAGACUCUGAGGUCAAAAAAGCCCUAAGACAGUUGAGUGACAGAAGAGAAGAGGCUUGUUUCAAAGACUUCCAGGGGGUGAGCAAAUGCCUGAGCAGGGACUGGCCCUCGCACUCUGUGCUCCCUCACCUUUUGUCCUCACACAACUCUUCAAAUUGAAACUGAUGUGGGCCAGAAACACAGCCAACAAAAUCCCCACGGGGUUAGUGAGACUGUGGG